rnacentral:rRNA from 1 species
GACGAACGCUGGCGGCGUGCUUAACACAUGCAAGUCGAACGGAAAGGCCCUGCUUUUGUGGGGUGCUCGAGUGGCGAACGGGUGAGUAACACGUGAGUAACCUGCCCUUGACUUUGGGAUAACUUCAGGAAACUGGGGCUAAUACCGGAUAGGAGCUCCUGCUGCAUGGUGGGGGUUGGAAAGUUUCGGCGGUUGGGGAUGGACUGGCGGCUUAUCAGCUUGUUGGUGGGGUAGUGGCUUACCAAGGCUUUGACGGGUAGCCGGCCUGAGAGGGUGACCGGCCACAUUGGGACUGAGAUACGGCCCAGACUCCUACGGGAGGCAGCAGUGGGGAAUAUUGCACAAUGGGCGGAAGCCUGAUGCAGCAACGCCGCGUGCGGGAUGACGGCCUUCGGGUUGUAAACCGCUUUCGCCUGUGACGAAGCGUGAGUGACGGUAAUGGGUAAAGAAGCACCGGCUAACUACGUG